UCAGGAUGAACGCUAGCGGCAGGCUUAACACAUGCAAGUCGAGGGGCAGCGUGGAGUAGCAAUACUCUGACGGCGACCGGCGAAAGGGUGAGUAACGCGUGAGCAACAUGCCCGGUAGUGGAGAAUAGUCGAUGGAAACGUCGCGUAAUACUCCGUAACACGGGUGACCGCAUGAUUAUCUGUUAAUAGAUUUAUCGCUACCGGAUUGGCUCGCGUACCAUUAGCUAGUUGGCGGGUAACGGCCCACCAAGGCGACGAUGGUUAGGGGUUCUGAGAGGAAGGUCCCCACAUUGGAACUGAGACACGGUCCAGACUCCUACGGGAGGCAGCAGUGAGGAAUAUUGGACAAUGGCCGAGAGGCUGAUCCAGCCAUGCCGCGUUGCGGGAAGACGGCCCUAUGGGUUGUAAACCGCUUUUGUUGGGGAGCAAUAAGGUCCACGUGUGGAUCGAUGAGAGUACCCAGCGAAUAAGCAUCGGCUAACUCCGUGCCAGCCGCGGC
rnacentral:rRNA from 1 species